AGAUAUGUAGCUUAAUGUAGAUGCAAGGCUGAUUUGAAUGAGGCACUUGAGUUUACUUCACAAUAGUUUCAUACCUCAAGGCUCACGGCACACCCAAACAUACCAAAACACCCCAAAAUGACCCAAAACACUACAAAAUGACCCAAAACACCCUAAAACAUCCUAAAACGCAUCAAAACAUUCCCACACACCCCAAAACACGCCUAAACUAUCCCUAAACACUCCAAAAUAUCCCAAAACACCAUAAAACACCGCCACAGCACUCCUUGGAGAUAUUGUCAAAGAAUAUAUAUAAACAAGACUGCUUGCUUGCUUGUUUAAGAAAGUUGGGUGAAGAGAUUUAAGGGUGGGUAUAGAAGAAGAAAACAGUCAGAAAAUGAAGGAAAGAUGAAGAUAUACAGAUCGUGGUCAGGCCACGUUGCUAUUUUUCAUCUAGUGCGGUAGAAGUGUCUCGCUCGAUCUUAGGUUCAAUUACCCAGCCUAGAAGGUUGCCUCUUAAAUGUAAAGUUUCCUUGUUUUUUUUUUUUUUUUUUUUCCUUUUUCCUUUUCCUUUCCCUAUCCUUUUCCUUUUCCUUUCCUUAUCCUUUUCCUUUUUCUCCUUUCCCUUCUUGUUCCUUUUCCCCUUUCCACUGGCAGGCCACAACUAAAAAAAUAAAUAAGAAAAAUAAAACAAAUAGAACAUCCUAAUCCAACAGAUGGCAGUGGCUAAUAUUUACAUAUGUACACAGUGCAGGUGCAUAGAUUGUCUCUUAAGUCUCAAUGUGUUUGUUCUCAUACAAUUAAAGGACUGGGUUGUCUUAAGUUUUAAGGUCUCUUAUUCAAUGUUUUGAUGCUACCUUUGGCCCAGCCGAUUCCUCUCCUCCCCCCGCAGCCGGAUGCAGCAAGCAUUGACCGGUAGACACCACCCCUUGCCAGAACGGGGAAGAAGGUCCACAGGGAGCCACCUGCUCCACACACUGUGUUCUUGACCAACACGUCCCGCCCCAGCAACUCAGGGCGCGGAGCAGAGGAGAACAGCAAAGAUCGCAAAGCACGCAUCAUUUCCCUGCUACAGGAUGUCCUUCGGUGGUGGUGUCUUCUCUGCUAAAUAUCCAGAUCUAAUUUUCUUAAAUAUACUGUCAUCCACCAUGUGCCAGCAAGAGUUAUCCAUUUUGAUUUUAUUUGAUUCUAUUAAGUUCCGGGGGAAUUUGUGGAGAAAAGCUGAGUUCUUCAAGAUCUGUGGAUGUUUUGACUUGGAAUAGCUUGUCAAGAUCUUCAUCCGUGGAUGUUAUUACUACGUAGCCGUCAUUCACAGG